CUUUGAACAGUUCAGGCACAGGGAAGGAGUACUGAUGCGCAUUCACUUUGCUACUCUAUAAACUCCCUUCCUCACUCAAAGCACAUUUAUUCCUAUUGUUUCAAAGCCCACUUCAUAUAAAUAGUAGAAAAUCACCAUAGAGAAAAGCAGUCACUUCCCUCAGAUGUGGUGGCAUGCACAGGAAAUGGCAAUUGAAAGCAAGGGAAGAAAACAGGAAACUGCAAAGGCAUGGAAAAUGUUAAUAUCAAUUAGUAAUAUGUUUAAAGAGACAUUUGUCUAGGAUCAACACAGUAGACAGUCUUUCAACUUGGUAUGUUCAAAUAAGGAUAUUAUGAGAACAAGAGCUUCUGACCAGUUCUCACUGCUUCAGCCCAGGAUCCUGAACUCUGACCCUUGCAGUUCAUGUCCGAAUAUUCGCUGGAACACUCCCACCUGCAAAGGCAUUACUUUGGGGCCAUGGAUCAUUUACCAUCAAGCUGACAUUCAACCCUGGUUCGGUGAGGAUGAUGAUGAGUUUUGUUUUUUAAGUAUUCAAAAACAAUUUCCACAACGCAGCAUCAGAGAUAAGUGAGAACCAUGCACUUGACUAAAUGUUUGGUUUGUUUUUUUAAAAACGCUAGUUAUAAAAUUCAUUGACAUGAGGGAGAAAAAUUCACAAGGGCCAUUUAUGCAUGGUAUCCUACAGAUGAUUAUAAAAGUUUAUUAAUAUUUUUGAAUUUUUAACUCUGAC
ensembl:lincRNA